CGCCUGGGGCAGAGUGUGAGCCGGGAGGGGAUGAGCUGUGCCACCAGCUGCAUGUGCAGGGGGCUCUAUUCUCUGUCCCCCGAAACAGCCCAUGGAACCCUGGGCUCCCUCAGCCUCCAGUUCUGUCAUCAUCCUUGCUGGUCCUGUGAAGGCGGCAUCCAGGGGGAGGGGACAGCCUACCGACCCUGUGUGCUCCCCGCAGCUUCUCCAUCGGACUUAUUCUGCUUGUGGGAUUUUUUUUUUUUAAGACAGGACACUAAUAGCAUGCCUGUUACAUACAUUAUGAUCUUCCUUGCUGCGGCUGAAGUGUGCCUUUAUAAAGUAUCAUCAGGGCUGGGCACAGUGGUGCACACCUGUCAUCCCAGCACUCUGGGAAGCUAAGACAAGAGGAUUGCAAGUUCGAGCUUAGCAGGAAAACUUAGCAACUUAGCAAGAUUCUGCCUCGAAAUAAAAUAGAAAAGAGACAGAGGCUGUGGCUCAGUGUGCGGGCCAUGGGUUCACUUUCCUCUGCAUGUCCUUGUAAGGAACUGUACACUCAGAGUUCACCGAAACCCGACCAUCUUUCCUUCGCACCUGUGCUGGGUCUUAGGAAAUUCUGUCUUAGCCUGGCUGCAGGAAAGCACUCACGAGUCAUCAAUUCUUAUUUCUCAAAGGCACUUUGGUUUUUUGCCUUUAGUCACUGAAGUGGCCCCAACGUGGUUACUGGGCUCAGUGAGUGGGACCCCUGCCCCAUACGAUUGGGCAGCCCUAGGUCCCUGGACCCCUGCCCUGUGUGGCUCCUGUCUGCCAACCCGUGUCCCUCUAGGGUGUCCUCUCUAGUCCUGGUCCUGGGCCAUACUCGCAGCCUGCCUGAGAAAUCUGCCCUUUCCUCCUCCUCCCCAGGAGUCCUAGCACCUGACUUGCAGGCCAGGCCGCCCUGCCACACAACUCCCUCUUCCCCACCUGCCCUGGCUGGUCCUCGGUUUAGUGCUUCCUGGUUAAAGCUGAAAAGUUCUUGCAAGUCACACCAGAACUCCGCUGGGAAAUCAGUACAGCAGAAAGGUGCCAGGCAAGCAUGAUGGUACAUGUCUAUAAUCCCUAUGAACUCCUGGACGCUGAGGCAAAAAGAGCACAAAUUUAAACCCAGCCUGGGCAACUUAGUGAUUGAGGACCUAUCUCAAAAAGGAAAAAGAAAAAAGAAGAAGAAGGCAGAAGGAAAAAGGAUGAGGAAGAAGGAAGAAGGAGGAUAAAGGAAGAGAAGAGGAGGAGGAAGCAGCAGCAGCUCUGUGUCUGCAGCUCAGUGCAAAGGCCCUGGGUUAAAUUCCCAGCACUGCGGAAGAUGGAAAUAAAACAGGAUGGUCUCGCAGACCAUCCUGGUGUGACUCUGACAAACUCAGCUUGGUCGUGACAUUUGUCUUCUGCUUAUUUAAGAGAAAGUGCCUCUUUCUCUUCCACAAAACUCACUCUCAAGGGCUGGACCUGGGCUUCCCUGACUUUGUUAGCAGGUGAAAUGAGCCCAGCACAGCGGCCACAAAGCUCUGUCCGCGGAGCUCUGGUCCCUGGCCCUCUCCUUUGUGCCCUGACACUGUUUGUGCCCUGAAACUUUCACAACUGAAAGUUCCUGGGCGUUCCUGAGGGUGGCACAGACUCACUCCCUCUCUUUCAGAGUCAUCUGUUCGAGAUUUUUGAUUCCUGGCAUCUGGGGCUGGAGCUUGUUUCCCACGGACAGCAAGCCCAGGGUUCAACUCCUAGUACUACCGCAAACAAUAAAACAAAACAAAACAAAGA